rnacentral:rRNA from 1 species
ACGCUCGACACCUACGAGGCAGCAGUGGGGAAUAUUGCACAAUGGGGGAAACCCUGAUGCAGCGACGCCGCGUGGAGGAAGAAGGUCUUCGGAUUGUAAACUCCUGUUGUUGGGGAAAAAGAGGAUGGUACCCAACAAGGAAGUGACGGCUAACUACGUGCUAGCAGCCGCGGUAAUCUGAGCGGGCUGGCAAGGC